rnacentral:pre_miRNA from 9 species
UCUCGAUAGCGUAAAAGUUAACUCAAAAAUGUAUGGAGUUGGAACGCUUGACUACGUUUGCCGCUAGAGGAGCGGUUCCAGCUGCAUACGAAUUUGAGUUAACUUUUACGCUAUCGA